rnacentral:rRNA from 1 species
UUGGCUCAGAACGAACGCUGGCGGCAGGCCUAACACAUGCAAGUCGGACGGUAGCACAGAGAGCUUGCUCUCGGGUGACGAGUGGCGGACGGGUGAGUAAUGUCUGGGGAUCUGCCCGAUAGAGGGGGAUAACCACUGGAAACGGUGGCUAAUACCGCAUAACGUCGCAAGACCAAAGAGGGGGACCUUCGGGCCUCUCACUAUCGGAUGAACCCAGAUGGGAUUAGCUAGUAGGCGGGGUAAUGGCCCACCUAGGCGACGAUCCCUAGCUGGUCUGAGAGGAUGACCA